UGCAUUAAAAUUAUUUUAUUUUUAAUUUUUUAAUGGGUUAUACAUGCAUGUGAUGUAAAGUUUGAAAAUGUCACAAAAGGCACCUAAUUCUGUCCCUGUGUGGCCAAUUUCUUCUGAGGUAGUCAAUGCAGACACAGUGAUAAGUCUUACAUCUCCUCCCUCCCUUCCAGUUUUGAUGAUUGGUAUGAACAGUCCUUCCUCAUCCUUCUUUUUAUUUUACCCUAGAUGCUUUCUCCUGGCUCUUAUUGCUUAUUUAGUUUUAUAAAGGAUCUUUAAAAUCAACUUGUCUAGUUUGAAAUAAAAUCUCCCCAAAAUUACUAUUGGGUGUAGGAUGCCCAAUAUUUAUAAGUAAGUUUGAAAGAAUUGACAUUGUAGGAUCCUGAGUCUUUUAAACUAAAAACAAGGUAUGCUUUUCCAUUUGUUUUAGUCUUUUAAAAAAUAACUAUUAAGUGUAUCUUAUCUUUUUGUUGUUUGUAUGGAUGAAGACUACUGAUUUUUCUAUAUUACAUUUUUUACCAUACUGGAUUCUCUCAUUGUUUGUAAUAGUUUUUCAACAAUUCUCUUGAGCUGCCCAGAUAAACAAUCAAUUUAUCUGUACAUUACUCCAGACAAUUUUGAGUUAUGGUGAUGUUAAGUUGAGUGGUUUAGUUAACUUAUGUGCACAUUUUUGAACAAAGUCUCUCUGGAUAACUGCUCAACUGAAAAGCAGAUAUAAGCUGUUAAAUCUGAACACAAAUGAAACAUUCCAAACCUACAGUCACCACAAAACCAAAACAAAACAAAACGACCAACCAACACAAAUGUUCUCAUAUGCAAUUGCUUGUGAAUCAAAUUUGUCUCAGAUUAGUGAAAACAAAACAACGAAAUGAAAGAUUUGUAUCACUAUCACGAAUAACCUUCAAUUUAGAACUUUUUGUGUUCCUUGAAACUUAUUGUUUUCAUUUGAUUAAUUUUAUAAUAAAUAUAUAUAAGAAAUUUGAACUGGUAAACUAUUCUCAUGAGAUGUUGCUUGAAUUACCUGUUUUUUCUUCUUUUAUGUUGCAGAUCCACAGAAGAAAACCAAGUUUAGUUGACAAGAAAAAUUGAAACACUGGCCUGACCCCUCUUGCCUCUCUCUUUACUGGUACAGGACUGGUCAUUGUAGACCUAGUGUCAGAAGCAGUACCUGCCAGGUGUUUGUUCUGCAGCCCAUGAAGUGAGCUGGCAGUGGCCUUGUGAGAAGGUGCCAUCGCUACCAUCCUACGCGUGAGGACGGGGAGGCACUCAGAGGUCCAGUGACCUGCCUGGCCUCCCUACCCCGAGACACAACAUUGAAACCAGGCCGAUCAGUAACCCUGCGAUGGACUCUUGAGUGUUCAGUGAAAGGACAGCUCACACAUCCCUCUCUUUCAAUCAAAAGCUGGAAAUGAUGAAGCCCAGUGAGGAAGGCAUGUCACAAGCUGAGAUAAAUGAAAGCUGGGCCUUUUGUGCCAAACAGCCAAGUUGUGACACAAAGAAAAGUCCUUGAAGGAAAUUACAGUGCUGCUCAGUGAGCACACGGGUGACAGGAGAGGGAAACCUCCUUCCUGCUGAUGGGGAGAAAGUGCCAGUGUUCUGGGCAGAAGAUCAAACCAGCCCCAACAGUCCCUGUAGCCAAAGCCUAAUCCAGAGCGAGGCCCUGACUCUCUUCAAGUCCAGGGAGGCUGAGAGAGGGGAGGAGGCUGCAGGAGAAAAGCUGGGAGCUGGCAGAGGCUGGGUCAGGAGGUUUAAGGAAAGAAGGCGUCUCCAUAAGUAAAAGUGCAGGGGAAGCAGCAGGUGCUGACGGAGAAGCUGCAGCAAGUCACCCAGAAGAUCAGCUGAGAUAAUGAGUGAAGGUGGCCACAGUAAACGACAGAUUUUCAGUGUAGACAAAACAGCCUUCUUUUGGAAGAAGAUGCCAUCUAGGAUGCCUUUCAUAGCUGGAGAGGAGAAGUCAGCGCCUGGCUUCCAAGCUUCCAAGGACAGGCUGACCCCCUUGUCGGGGCUAAUGCAGCUGGUGACUUUAAGUUGGGGCCAGUGCUCACUGACCUUCUGAAAAUCCUGGGGCCCUUAGGAAUUCUGCUAAAUCUACUCUGCCUGUGCUCUAGAAAUGGAACAGCAAACCGGACGACAGCACAUCUGUUUACAAUACGAUUUACUCAAUAUUUUAAGCCCACUCUUGAGAUCUGCUGCUCAGAAGAAAGCGUCCUUUCCAAGCAUUCCUGCUCACCGACGGUGCACCUGGUCACCAGGAGCCCUGGCGGAGAUGUGCGAUGAGACGGGUGUUGUUUCAUGCCUGCUGCCCGACACCCAUUCUGCAGCCCACGGAUCAAGGAGUAUUUCCAAUCUCAAGUCUUAUUUAAGAAAUACUUUCACAAGGCUGGAGCUGCCAUAGGCGGGGAUUCCUCUGAUGAUCUGGGCCACGCUAACUGAAACCUUCUGGAAAGGAUUCCCCGUUCUGGAUGCCACGACCAACACCCACGAUUCACGGGAAAAGGUCACAACACCAACAUGAACAGGAGUUUGGAAGAAGCUGCUUCCAACCCCCACGGAGGACGCCGAGGGGCUCAGGCUUCAGGGGCGGAAGUCACGGCAGAUGCGGCGGAAGCAGCGGGAGAGCGAGACCCGGAAGUGGGGUCUGAGGACGGGGCCGAAUCCCUGCAUCUCAGGAUCAAACCUGAGCAGAUGAGGAGCUGCUCCAUACGGACGAGCAAGGAAAGUGGCUUCUUGGGAUGGAAUCUACUCCUGAGGAUGCGGUGAAGACUGUUGACAUGACAACAAAGGAUUCAAAAUAUUAUAUAAGCUUAGUCAGUAAAGCAGCAGCAGGUCUGAGAGGACUGACUCCAGUUUGGAAAGAAGCUGUCCUGUGGGUGAAAUGCUGUCAGACAGCACCACACACCAGAGAUAACCGUUCAUGAAAGGAAGAGAAUCAGUGUGGCAGACCUCCCUGUUGUCUUGUUUUUAGCAAUGGCCGCAGCGCCCCGGCCUUCAGCUGCCCUGCCCUGAUCAGCCAGCGGCCACCCGCACUGAGCACCAGCACGACCACUGACUCGCUGGUCAGGUGGUGGUUAGGAUUGCUUAGUAACAAAGUAUUCUUAAAUUAAGGUAUGUACAUUGUUUUUGAGACACAAUGCUGUUGCACACUUACAGACUACGAAAUAGUGUAAACGUUUAUAACUUGUAUAUGCACUGGGAAACCAACAUAUUCGUUUGACUCGCUUUAUUGCGGUAUUUGCUGUCUUCUGGUGGUCUGGAACCGAACCUGUGAUACCUGUGAGCUGUGCUUGCAUAGGAUGCCGGAUGGUGACAUAAAGAAUAAAGCAGAGACCAGAUAGUGUCAGGGUGGGGGCAGGACUGGGGGUAGACAGAAGCUGCAGUUGUAAAUAGGGUACUCAGGAGAGAUCUCACAGUGAAGGUGGCAUUUGAGUAAAGGCCUGCAGGAGGUGAGUCAUGAGGUUAUUCGAGAUAUUAAAAGAUACAGUAAUUAAAACAGUGUGGUCUUAGCACCAAAAAGCCACAGAAAAAUGGAACAAAAUGGUGAGUUCAGAGAUUGGUCCAAAUAUAUAUGAAGAUUUAGCAUGUGAUAAAGUAGCUCAAAGAAUGGAGUUUAUAAACGGCACUAGGACAACUUGCUAACCAUUGGGAAAAAAAUAAGGUGGGAUUGUACCUUAUGUGGACAAAAAUUAAAAAUGGAUAAAAGAUUUUAAUGUUAAGAAACACACACUAAACUGCUAGGUGAAUAGAUAGGUAAGUAUUUUAUUCUCAUACUCUGACUAUAGCAUGAUAACAAAGCCAGAGAACUCAAGUAAAACGGGCCACAAAUUUGAUGAUAUAAAAGUUUAAUGUGGCAAAAUCAAAAGAAAAUAAUCAAAAUCACCACUCAUAAAAGUUAAUUUUUUCUUGAAAAAUAACACAUAUCAAUGAAACACUGUAUUUCCUUAUUUUAAUUUUUUACCCGUUCUGAAGUUAGUGUAUCUAUUUAAUGGGGUAAUGUCUUUCCUCUUGCUCUUUGGAGCUGUUAAAUCAAUGGAAUGUUACAUAUUCUAAUAAACUGCCUGUUAGAAACCAGAUAUAAACUGAAUAGUUUUAGAAAGCAAAAAAUUUAUAUGCCUGUAGCAGAAGAAUAUGAACACAAUUCCCCCAAAAAUUCAAAUGGCCAAAAAAAUGUGAAAAGAUGUUUAACUUCUUGAGUAAUCAAAGCCAUACAGAUGCAGUAUUUCAUCUGCAGGGUUGGUAAUGCUGAGGGGGACUGAUGGUGAGGCAGAGAGGACACAACAUUCCUAUCUGCUGUGAUGGGAGGGCACCUUCCUGUAGCCUUCCAUCAAAAUUAAAUGUGCUUAUGCCUUUUAAAAUUCAUAUCUUUUCCAGAUGUUAUUGGACAAAUAAUCAAAGUGUAUGUAUGAAAAUGUUUAUCACAGCAUUAUUUGCAAUCAGAAAAACUGGGAAAUGGCCUGGGUGCCCAGUAUUAAGAGAAUGGUUCAGUAAGGUGCUGCGUAUACAGACCCUGGGACACUAUGUAGUAUUAGUUAUUUAUAUGGAAAUGCGUCUACAAUAAAUGGUUAAUUAAGAAGCAGAUUCACAGCAGCCACUUUGGGAGGUUUUGGCACUUGGUUGCAAAGCCAGGCACAGUCUUACCAUGUGAUCUACCGCUACCCUGCUCAUAUCCAUUCCUCUUAUCCUGUCUCCAAAUUAACCUCUAGGUAGACUCAGUUAAUCUCCAGUUCACCACGGCCAGUCAGUGUUUUUAGAGGGGAAUGUCCUCGUGCCUGGGUGUCUGGGGGAUGAUGAUUCCAUUGGUAACGGAGAGACAGGGGUCAACAUACACCAGGAAUGUCCUCCCUGGCGUCAGUAAGUGACUCAGUGAGGUCAGGUGCGUGAAAGGAGGUCUGGCUCUCCUUUGAAGAAGAGAUGGCGCCUGGUAACUUUCUGAUAAGAAGCAUCUGCUACACAGCAGGAACCUCCUAGACCCGACCCAAGGGGACUGCUCUCCGUGCGGUUCUCCUCUCCAGUUGCCCUUAGUGUCCUUCAUAAACAGUAUUUGACAAGAAGAGAAAACUCAAUAGUAAAACUUUUUUUUUUUAAAAAACACUAUCAUCAAAACUGCACAUCUUAUGUUCACUGCUCUUUAAUUUUCCAUGGUUUCACUAUUCAGUGAUUCAGGGAGAAAAAUGGAUGCCUUAAAGCAUCAAUUACUAGGUGCCUACCUUGAUUGGAAUAACCAGAUAAUCCCCCAGAUCUCAACUUUGCAGGCAGGUAAAGCAGUGACAGUAUUAAGAACACCAGAAUUUGCUGCUCAGUGAAGUAUGAUCACCAGCAAACAUUGGCUGAGUGCCUACUCUGUAGACUAACGUGCUGUGCUACAGAGAAGCUAAACCCGAGGCCGCAGAGGCCCAGCUAAAGACCACUUUAUGAACUGGUAGAGUCCAGAGCCUGCAGAGCGGCCCCUCAGAAUGGAGAGGAGACCCAGAUUCGGGGUGAAGAGCAGCACCGGGGUUCUGGCAGAGAGGCCUUGAAUAAAUCAGUUGGCUUCUCCGAGCCCUUAAUUUUCUCAGCUAUAAAAAC